GAUGAAGAACGUAGCGAAAUGCGAUAAGUAAUGUGAAUUGCAGAAUUCAGUGAAUCAUCGAAUCUUUGAACGCACAUUGCGCCCGCCAGUAUUCUGGCGGGCAUGCCUGUUCGAGCGUCAUUUCAACCAUCAAGCCCCAGGCUUGUGUUGGGGACCUGCGGCUGCCGCAGGCCCUGAAAACCAGUGGCGGGCUCGCUAGUCACACCGAGCGUAGUAGCAUACACAUCGCUCAGGGCGUGCUGCGGGUUCCGGCCGUUAAACCCCUUUUUUACCCAAGGUUGACCUCGGAUCAGGUAGGAAGACCCGCUGAACUUAAGCAUAUCAAUGAGCGGAGGA
rnacentral:misc_RNA from 1 species